GGGGAUAUAGCUCAGUUGGUAGAGUGCUUGCCUUGCAUGCACAAAGCCCUGGGUUCAAUCCCCAGCAUCAAUA
rnacentral:tRNA from 1 species